AACGAACGCUGGCGGCAUGCCUAACACAUGCAAGUCGAACGAGACCUUCGGGUCUAGUGGCGCACGGGUGCGUAACGCGUGGGAACCUGCCCUUAGGUUCGGAAUAACUCCCCGAAAGGGGUGCUAAUACCGGAUAAUGUCUUCGGACCAAAGAUUUAUCGCCUUUGGAUGUGCCCGCGUUGGAUUAGCUAGUUGUUAGGGUAAAAGCCUACCACGGCGACGAUCCAUAGCUGGUCUGAGAGGAUGAUCAGCCACACUGGGACUGAGACACGGCCCAGACUCCUACGGGAGGCAGCAGUGGGGAAUAUUGGACAAUGGGCGAAAGCCUGAUCCAGCAAUGCCGCGUGAGUGAUGAAGGCCUUAGGGUUGUAAAGCUCUUUUACCCGGGAUGAUAAUGACAGUACCGGGAGAAUAAGCUCCGGCUAACUCCGUG
rnacentral:rRNA from 1 species